GAGAAAAAGGUUAUAUCUUUCCUCGUCCCAGAUUUGCCUCACUUGGCUUUUUCCAUUUGUGGCCGAUCACGGUAACGCAAUUGUAAAACAACUUCCUGCUCCUUUUGGCUCAAGUUCGUGAAGCUACAAGGCUACGUUCUCAGCAAAACGGCUUGACUCUCUCUUUACUAAAGAAGCAUCAGCCCCCCCCCCCGGCCGCCAAAAGAGAGAGGGAGGGAGGGAGAUGCAAACCUCCUUGACAGCUUUAAGGAGGGAGGGGAGGGGAAGGGUGACGAGGACUCGCAAUGCGAACUUUUUUGUCCAGCGAUCCUUAAGAAUGUUGCGCAAGAGACGUCUGUAUCGCAGUUGGAUAACCGGCAUACUUUUAAAAGAUGACUCAUAAAAUAUACCUUCAUCCGUAAAUUGGCAAUCAUUCUUUAGCAAAUCUUCUGUUGAAUCCAGAUAGUAAUGUCAUUCACCUCCCACCCCCAUCUGUUGCAGACGUAGGAAAUUAUUUUGAUUCUGAUGGACAGAUACAAUUUUAAAUCCAUGUGUUCAUAUUUUAGCUGGAAGAUCAACUGCCACACCAAGAUAAGUAUUAUUGAUUAUUCAUAGUACUGGAUUUUGAGCUCUUGGGCUUUUUAAAAAAUUAUAAGCUUGACAACAAUUUAAUAUUGAUAAUAUUAUACACAUAGAUUACAUUCUGCCAGUUUAAGACCAGCAUUAUAUAAUGUAUCAUAAUGUUUUAUAUUAGGAAGCACUAUUUUACUAUAAAUUACUAUUGAUCAUCCCUUCCACAGAAUGUUGUAGUGUUCUGAUCUCAGUUGGUGAUAUCUGAGCAUUGGGACUUUAAAACAGUUAUUUUCACCUGGACUGUGAUCACCUUUUUUUUAAAGGCAAAAGGACAUGCUCAGUAAAAUCAGUUUGAUACUAUAUCUGCUCAACAACUAAACAAUUUAAAUUCUGUGCCAUGCCGUUUCAUAAAUAGUUCAAAGUCACUUUCUUAUUUAAAAAGCAGAUAUAAACUGACUGUUACUAAACAGUGGAAAUGCAUUAUAAUACUAGAAACUGAAUAUAAUAUUAUAUAUAAUAUGUUAUAUAUUUAUAAUUGCAUUAUAUGUGUUAUUUUAUAUAGAAAUACAUAUU